AGAACGAACGCUGGCGGCAGGCCUCAAACAUGCAAGUCUAGGGGGUGUAGCAAUACAUCACCGGCGGACGGGUGCGUAACACGUGGGAAUAUACCUUUUGGUUCGGAACAACGCAGGGAAACUUGCGCUAAUACCGAAUGUGCCCUUACGGGGAAAGAUUUAUCGCCAAAGGAUUAGCCCGCGUAGGAUUAGCUAGUUGGUGAGGUAAUGGCUCACCAAGGCUCCGAUCCUUAGCUGUUCUGAGAGGAAGAUCAGCCACACUGGGACUGAGACACGGCCCAGACUCCUACGGGAGGCAGCAGUUGGGAAUCUUGGACAAUGGGGAAACCCUGAUCCAGCCAUGCCGCGUGAGUGAUGAAGGCCUUCGGGUUGUAAAACUCUUUCGACGGGGACGAUAAUGACGGUACCCGUAGAAGAAGCUCCGGCUAACGUUCGUGCCAGCAGCCGC
rnacentral:rRNA from 1 species